AGCCAACCCUGUUGUGGGGAAUCAGAGAAGGUAUCUCAAAUGGGAAGUCCAAUCUGGGUGCUUAGAGAUGUGUAAGAGUGAGCCAGGCGAAAGGAGGUGAACGUUCUCAGCUUCUCCUGAUUUGUUAACUUGGAAGUCAUAUUCUUUGUCUACCCCAAAGGACUACAGGGCCAAUGAGAACAGAAACUGCUUUCGUUCUGCCCCAACACACAACAGAAACAGAAGAACUGAAACCUCAGCUGAGGCUUCUGCUCUCGCAUUUCAGUAUCUCUUAUGACGUGGAAGAGCUGAGCGAUGCUUCUAAGGAGACAGAACUUUUUGCCUUGGUUUCCCCAAAAUUUCAAAGCAUCUUCAUGGAACAACAGAGAAUGCAAACGUUUCCAGACUAUAAUGCUGGGAUAGCUAAAGUGGAAAAUUUGAAUUUGGCAGGACCUCGUAGGGCCUUGAAAAAGGGAGCCAACUGGACUUCCUUUAUAAAGAUUAAGCCAAAAUGUGAUCCUUGGCAAAAGAAGCUUUUGACCAAACUAAAAGAACGGAGAAGAAUAGAUGUAUUAAUGCAACUCCAAGCAAAGUUUUUGAAGCCAUGGAUUCACUGCUGCUGCUGCUGCUAAGUUGCUUCCGUUGUGUCUGACUCUGUGCGACCCCAUAGACGGCAGCCCACCAGGCUCCCUCGUCCCUGGGAUUCUCCAGGCAAGAACGCUGGAGUGGGUUGCCAUUUCCUUCUCCAAUGGAUUCACUAUGAAGGCUUUAUUUGGAAUUGUCUAAUCUAAUUGCCCGAUUUUAUAUCCUGUUAGCUUUCAUUAGUGACAGUUGUCAAAAGAGUUGGCUUUAACACUAGUUAAAGAGGGGUGUGAUAUUAAAGAGAUAUCACACCAAUAUCUCUGUGUGAUAUUGCUUUAGUCACAUAACCUCUUUCAGUUUUCGUUUCCUCAUUUGUGAAACCAAAUAAGUGGACUAAACAUUGAACUAUCUUACUUUUACUAUGGUAAAAA
ensembl:lncRNA